ensembl:ncRNA lncRNA:CR45609 long non-coding RNA:CR45609
CAUAACGAUGUACCACUCUUCGAGGCGAUAAUCAACAUCAAAGAGUUAAAGCCGACUGAAUGCUGAAUACUCAAUAAAUCCCAAAAGGUACCAGAUGAAAUCCAUGGCGAAUCCGAAUUGCAACGGCAAUUGAGGAUCGGAUAAGCGGCGGAAAAUAGACAGGCAAGCAAACAAACAAACAAGAUACAAACAGACAAGCAAAUCGACUAACUAACCGUUUAAGUUACCGUUUCGGAUGUGAGAAUUGCACUUCGGGAUCUUGAUAAAGCGAGCGAUUUUACGCAUAAUCAAAAACAUCAAAACAACAGAGGAACUGAACUGAGAAAUGGGAAACUCACACCUCCCCCACCCAUUGCACACCCACACCCACAGUUACACACCCACGAAAACAGGAAAACAGGAGGUUCGGACGUAGGUAGGCAUGCCUGGGAUGGGAUCAGGUCCUGCGAAAGGACAGGAGCUAAGCAGCGUGUAAUGACGGAUGGUUCUCCUUAUGGCACAUCUACAGAUACUUGUAUCUGCAUCUGUAUGU